UUCCGGUUGAUCCUGCCGGAGGCUACCGCUAUUGGAGUUCGAUUAAGCCAUGCGAGUCUAGAGGCCUAGCCUCGGCGUACCGCUCAGUAACACGUGGGUAACCUACCCUAUGCUGGGGAAUAAGCUCGGGAAACUGAGAAUAAUACCCCAUAGUCCACUACGCCUGGAACGGUGAGUGGAUCAAAGCUCCGGCGGCAUAGGAUGGGCCUGCGGCGUAUCAGGUUGUAGGGGGUGUAAUGUACCCUCUAGCCAUCCACGCGUACGGGUGUUGGGAGACAUUGCCCGGAGAUGGAUUCUGAGACACGAAUCCAGACCCUACGGGGUGCGGCAGGCGCGAAAACUUGGCAAUGCGAGAAAUCGUGACCAGGGAACUCCAAGUGGCAGGGGUAAGACCCUGUCUUUUUCCGACUCUAAAUAGGUCGGCGAAUAAGGGGUGGGUAAGGACGGUGCCAGCCGCCGCGGUAAUACCGGCGCCUCAAGUGGUAGUCGCUUUUAUUGGGCCUAAAACGUCCGUAGCCGGUCUGGUACAUUCGUGGGUAAAUCAACUCGCUUAACGAGUUGAAUUCUGCGAGGACGGCCAGACUUGGGACCGGGAGAGGUGUGGGGUACUCUCAGGGUAGGGGUAAAAUCCUGUCAUCCUGAGAGGACCACCUGUUGCGAAGGCUCCACACUAGAACGGAUCCGACGGUCAGGGACGAAGCCUAGGGGCACGAACCGGAUUAGAUACCCGGGUAGUCCUAGGUGUAAACGCUGUGGACUUGAUGUUGGGGACGCUCCGAGCGUUCUCAGUGUCGAAGCGAAGGUGAUAAGUCCACUGCCUGGGGAGUACGGUCGCAUGGCUGAAACUUAAAGGAAUUGGCGGGGGAGCACCGCAACCUGAGGAUUGUGCGGUUUAAUUGGAUCAACGCCGGA
rnacentral:rRNA from 1 species